GGCAAUUCAGCUGUGUGACCAGAAGGAGUGCACCUCUCCUAGACCACAUUUAAGGGCUGACUGCCUCUGCAGGGGGAUCUAUUUCUAGAGAUUGCUUCUCAUGAAGUUGCUCAUGAGCCUCUAACACAGUCCUUUUAGUGGCCCCUGCUAUGUUAAAGUCUUCCUUACACAGAGGAGACCAGCUAGAUGCUAUUUUGGAGGCUCUUUCCAACAAACCUCUCCUGUGUACUGCAGGGGUUGCCAACGACCAGACCAGGCUGCCCAGAGCCACAUCCAGCCUGGCCUUGAAUGCCUCAAGGGAUGGGGCAUCCACAACCUCCUUGGGCAACCAGAAGCCUCCUUGGGCAACCUGGAAAAAAGCAGAAGAGAGGCACAAAGAACUACUUCAUGGUGCAUUUGAGUUAUAAUACUAAUGACAAAAACUACCCAAGCAAAGAAGAAGUUUUACCUCAGGGACUGUGGAAAGAUUUACCUAUCAUUAAAAAUAAAGUUGAAUAAAGAUUAGCUCAAACUAAUUUAGCAUACCAAGUAAUAUCCCAUGAUCUUUUGCUGACUGAUCUGGAAGUUUUAAUAAAUGGCAAUAACUCUCUCAACAAUUUAUUAAGGUCUUGGAAUGGAAAAGAAAAAAAAGACAUUUUUGUGUCAUGUGAAAACAUGGUCAUCUACAUGCAAAUCUACUUCUUAAAGUUUUAACCUCAGCACAACUUUGCUUCAGGUGACUUAAUCAUUAGCCAAGCACUGAACAGAGUUCUGUUUGAUAGCAUCGACAAAAAACAGCUUAAUCUAUUGACAAGUGAUAUUCUCUGAGGAAACCACCAUCCAGUGUGAUGAAGGUCUGAUGAUUUGCAUCCCAGCAAGCAGAAGUUCUUUACACUUCAUGAGUAGGAAUGGAUACUUAGACUUGAACAGAAAGAUUUAUGUGUAAUUGAGUGGAACUGAAAGUACUACAGUUUACAUCACCAUUCAACUUUACCACGCACAAUUCUAUUAUUAUUCCUUUCUUAUUAUUAAGUAGAAAGGAGAGGAAGCAUUAACGCACACAGCUUCACAUCUUCCCCAGCUGACUUGCAGCCCAUUCUUCACACGCGCAGCACGCAACGGAUCACUGCAUGGUUGUCCUUCAGAGGAGCUGUGCUACCUCCUAGCUCAGCGCCCAGAGCUUUGUUUUCUUCUGUCUCUCAUACGAUUCAACACAAAGGCAAAGCUCCAUACCUAGAGCUCUUCAGAGCCAGGUCAGCAGCAACGCCUUUGUUUGGAGCAGGGACAAGGACCUGCACUUUGGCUGUGGAGUGCACUGCAAUUCCGUUCACGUUACCACAGCUGUGGCCUUUAAAGGUUACAUAUAUCAUAAAGCAUUCAGGGGAGAGUCGGGUUGGAUAUUAGGAAAAAUUUAUUCUCCCCAAGGGCGGUGAGGCAGCGGCACAGCUGCACGGGGAGAUCACUGUCCCUGGAGGUGUUUGAGAACUGUGUAGCUGUGGCACUGAGGGACGCGGUCAGCGGGCACGGAGGGGAUGUGCUGACGACUGGACGAGGUGAUCUCAGAGGGCUUUUUCAGCCUUAACGAUUCCGCGACUCCACGAAAGCAAUGCCUGGCAGUUCAAAGCCCGAUACCACCUCAGCUGGCAAUGGAAGAAGCUCUCACAUGCUCGGCAGCGCCUCGCUAGGAAAUAGAUCGGUGACUACCGAGAGAGGCGCGCGGACCCCCGCUGGUAGGGCCGGGGAUUCACUCGAGGACCCCGAGCGUCACAGACACGUGCCGAGUGAGAGAGCACAAAGGGGGAAAGACACAAAAGGGGAGGCAGAAGGCCGCGCGCAGCGCAGCCCUCGUGCCCGCACCUCACCCCAGGUGCCGGCGACUCGCGCGCCGCACCCGACUCCGGCCGCUUCCGUUAGCGGCGCGCG
ensembl:lncRNA